GAUAGCUCUGCGGUUUGCAAAUUUAUAUUUUCCUUUUCUUUACAUCAUUUACGCCUCCAGGAUAGUACGUACCAUCAGGGGGAUAUGUGUCAUUGGGACAAAGUAAAUAACCACAUAGACAUAGUUUUUACCCCUGCAAAAAUGCUAAUCCUCCUCUCUUUUUCCUUAUUCAAAAUAAGAUCCGGGACUAUAUCCAUGUGAUGGACUUAGCAGAUGGUCAUAUUGCUGCCUUGCGAAAGCUCUUCACAACCGAGAACAUAGGAAGCAAAUAGCAGAAAAGCUCAAGCUUGGGCUGCUGUUGAAAGCACUAUUAUCAUUAUGUAAUAGCUCCAAGUUGGCCAAUCCAAAUUGAAGUACGAGAUUGGAAGAGUAGGAACAAGCAAAGCAACAUUUAUGGGAAAGAGCUAACUCUCUAUGGGUUGUAAUUUUGUUUACAAGUAAUGAUAGGUUCAGUUAAUAUUUCUUGCUUAAUGAUA